rnacentral:rRNA from 1 species
CCUACGGGGGGCUGCAGUGAGGAAUAUUGGUCAAUGGCCGCGAGGCUGAACCAGCCAAGUCGCGUGAGGGAAGACGGCCCUACGGGUUGUAAACUUCUUUUGUAGGGGAGUAAAGAGAGUCACGUGUGACUCAUUGAGAGUACCUGAAGAAAAAGCAUCGGCUAACUCCGUGCCAGCAGCCGCGGUAAUACGGAGGAUGCGAGCGUUAUCCGGAUUUAUUGGGUUUAAAGGGUGCGUAGGCGGAAGGUGAAGUCAGUCGUCAAAUUUGGGGGCUCAACCCCGGAAUUGCCUUUGAAACUGCAUCCCUUGAGUGCACGAGAAGUAUGCGGAAUGCGUGGUGUAGCGGUGAAAUGCUUAGAUAUCACGCAGAACUCCGAUUGCGAAGGCAGCAUACCGACGCGCAACUGACGCUGAUGCACGAAAGCGUGGGUAUCGAACAGGAUUAGAUACCCGUGUAGUC